rnacentral:rRNA from 1 species
UACCAGCACCCCGAGUGGUCGGGACGUUUAUUGGGCCUAAAGCAUCCGUAGCCGGUUCUACAAGUCUUCCGUUAAAUCCACCUGCUUAACAGAUGGGCUGCGGAAGAUACUAUAGAGCUAGGAGGCGGGAGAGGCAGGCGGCACUCGAUGGGUAGGGGUAAAAUCCGUUGAUCCAUUGAAGACCACCAGUGGCGAAGGCGGCUUGCCAGAACGCGCUCGACGGUGAGGGAUGAAAGCUGGGGGAGCAAACCGG